GACAAGGGUAACACUGAUGUCAUAGCCCCAUGGUGUACAAACAAAGGCUAAUCAUCCCUGGCACUAUAACAUAGCUUGGCUUAGAAACCAGGAAGGCAGGCCAGCUGCGGUAAAGGGAUAGUCUCUGGAAGCUGAGGGUAGGAGUGAGGACAAUAGAAGUUUGGAGUCAUCUUGAAGGCGGCCUAGGGCAGAGGGAAAAAACUUCCAGGGCAAACAGCCUCCGGGAGACAUUACAGGGUGCCCGACACAAGAUCGCUGUUGAUACUUUCCACACCAACUUGGUUGGUGUUGGCACCUGCACAGGCUUAUCCCUGCACCAGUGAAAGCUCUACUAAGAAGAACCUGCCAUCUUGGCUCCCUCAAGCUCAGCUGGAGGAGAAAGGGAAGGCUCACGGACAGAAUAAUGCAGGACUCAUUCUGUACAACAUAGAGCUCCCACACUUCCUGGAGCCAGGAAGGAUCCGAAAGGCUAUAGAAGAGGUUGAAGGAUGAAGAGGACAUAGUCAAGAAACGAGGCUGAAGCCAAGCGAGCCACUUCGGUGCAGAUGACCCUUCCUAUAUUGCUGGUAGAAAUAUAAAAUAAAAUAAGGCAGCCACUACAGAAACGGUUUGGUGAUUCCUCAAAAAUUAAAUAUAGAAUUGCCAUAUGAUCCAGCAAUUCCAGCCCAAGUUAUAUAGCCCAAAUAAUUAA